GACGAACGCUGGCGGCGUGCUUAACACAUGCAAGUCGAACGGAAAGGCCCUGCUUUUGUGCGGUGCUCGAGUGCCGAGCACGUGUGUAUCACGUGAGUAACCUGCCCUUGACUUUGGGAUAACUUCAUGAAACUGGGACUCAUAUACGGCAUGAGCUCCUGAUACAUGGUGGUGAUGUGAGAAAGUCGGCGGUUCAGGAUGCACUGGCGGCUUAUCGGCUUGUUGGUGAGGUGGUGGCGUACAAGGGCUUCGAGGGGUAGCCGGACUGAGAGGGUGACCGGCCACAUUGGGACUGAGGUACGGCCCAGACGGCUACGGGAGGCAGGAGUGGGGAAUAUUGCACGAUGGGCGGAAGCCUGAUGCAGCAACGCCGCGUGCGGGAUGACGGCCUUCGGGGUGUAAACCUCUUUCGCCUGUGACGAAGCGUGAGUGACGGUAACGGGUAAAGAAGCACCGGCUAACUACGUG
rnacentral:rRNA from 1 species